UGCAACAAAUCUCUGAACAUCUAAAUUUGGGAUCCGAGGGCAUGAUCAGCAAGCAUCGACAAUGCAUCGAAAUCAGCAGAGAGUAGUGGUGCAUUGCAGAUAAUCAGUACCAUCCAUGGAAACUAUUGCACAGGGCACACGUCUACACAAAGGAGGAAAAGACACAAGGUUUUGCAGAUCAAAUAAGAAGGAUGUUGGGGAGUCAUAUUUGACAUGAAGUUUCCUGAAGCCUGCGAUGGUCAUGUCGCUGUUACGAACAUCGUCCUUUGGGGAUAUUUACCCACAAGAAACAUCUGCGAAGUACAUGCGCUUCGUGAAAGACUUGAAACUUAAGUUAUCUUAAGUAUGGAAGUAUGCUUCAAUUUGCUACACGACAGUUUGUAAUGUUUCAUGAAGAACUCUGACUCAUAAGUGACUUAA